rnacentral:lncRNA from 1 species
UGCUGAGCUCACGGGAACUGGCGGGGGAGGUGAGCUAACUGGUGCCGGUGGUGGAAGGAUUUUCACAGGAGGUGAUGGUGAAAUCACAGGAGCCGGUGGAGGAGGUGAUUUUACAGGCGGUGGCGGCGAGCUAACGGGUGCCGUUGGUGGAGGGGAUUUCAUGGGAGACGAUGGUGAAACCAUUGGAGCUAGUGGAGGAGGUAAUUUUACAGGUGGUGGCGGUGAGUUGACUGGAGUAGGUGGUGAAGAGUAUUUCACAGGAGGCGGUGGUGAGCUAACUGGAGCCGGUGGAGGAGGUGAUUUUACAGGUGGUGGUAGUGAGCUGACUGGAGCAGGUGGUGGAGGGGAUUGCGCCAGAGGAGGUGGUGAGCUUACUGGAGCCGGUGGUGGUGAUUUUAUAGGUGGUGGUGGUGAGCUGACUGGAGCAGGCGGUGGAGGGGAUUGCAUCGGAGGAGGAGGUGAGCUUAUUAGAGCUGAUGGAGGAGGUGAGUUUGCUUGUGGUGGGGGUGGCGACCUUAUCGGUGGUGGAGGAGGUGAUGAUUUCGUUAGCGGUGGAGGUGACCUCACCGGCGCUGGUGGCGGCGGCGAACUUAACAGUGGUGAAGGAGGUGGUGAUUUCACUGACGAUGGAG